AGUGAACGCUGGCGGUAGGCCUAACACAUGCAAGUCGAACGGCAGCACAGUAAGAGCUUGCUCUUACGGGUGGCGAGUGGCGGACGGGUGAGGAAUACAUCGGAAUCUACUUUUUCGUGGGGGAUAACGUAGGGAAACUUACGCUAAUACCGCAUACGACCUACGGGUGAAAGCAGGGGAUCUUCGGACCUUGCGCGAUUGAAUGAGCCGAUGUCGGAUUAGCUAGUUGGCGGGGUAAAGGCCCACCAAGGCGACGAUCCGUAGCUGGUCUGAGAGGAUGAUCAGCCACACUGGAACUGAGACACGGUCCAGACUACUACGGGAGGGAGCAGUGGGGAAUAGUGGACAAUGGGCGCAAGCCUGAUCCAGCCAUACCGCGUGGGUGAAGAAGGCCUUCGGGUUGUAAAGCCCUUUUGUUGGGAAAGAAAAGCAGCAGGUUAAUACCCCGCUGUUCUGACGGUACCCAAAGAAUAAGCACCGGCUAACUUCGUG
rnacentral:rRNA from 1 species